UACGUAGGGUGCAAGCGUUGUCCGGAAUUAUUGGGCGUAAAGAGCUCGUAGGCGGCUUGUCACGUCGACUGUGAAAACCCGGGGCUCAACUCCGGGCCUGCAGUCGAUACGGGCUGGCUUGAGUGCGGUAGGGGAGACUGGAAUUCCUGGUGUAGCGGUGAAAUGCGCAGAUAUCAGGAGGAACACCGGUGGCGAAGGCGGGUCUCUGGGCAACUACUGACGCUGAGGAGCGAAAGCGUGGGGAGCGAACAGG
rnacentral:rRNA from 1 species